rnacentral:rRNA from 1 species
GAUGAACGCUAGCGGCAGGCUUAAUACAUGCAAGUCGUGGGGCAGCAUGAAUGUAGCAAUACAUUUGAUGGCGACCGGCAAACGGGUGCGGAACACGUACACAACCUUCCUAUAAGUGGGGAAUAGCCCAGAGAAAUUUGGAUUAAUACCCCGUAACAUAACGAUGUGGCAUCACAUUGUUAUUAUAGCUUCGGCGCUUAUUGAUGGGUGUGCGGCUGAUUAGAUAGUUGGCGGGGUAACGGCCCACCAAGUCUACGAUCAGUAGCUGAUGUGAGAGCAUGAUCAGCCACACGGGCACUGAGACACGGGCCCGACUCCUACGGGAGGCAGCAGUAAGGAAUAUUGGUCAAUGGACGCAAGUCUGAACCAGCCAUGCCGCGUGAAGGAUUAAGGUCCUCUGGAUUGUAAACUUCUUUUAUCUGGGACGAAAAAAGGCUUUUCUAAGUCACUUGACGGUACCAGAUGAAUAAGCACCGGCUAACUCCGUGCCAGCAGCCGCCGUAA